GACGUAGGGCGCGAGCGUUGUCCGGAAUCAUUGGGCGUAAAGCGCACGCAGGCGGCCCGGCGCGUGGGGUGUGAAAGCUGGCGGCUUAACUGCCAGACGCCAUCCCAUACGGCUGGGCUCGAGCCCUGCAGAGGUCCAUGGAAUUGCCGGUGUAGUGGUGAAAUGCGUAGAGAUCGGCAGGAACACCCAGGGGGAAACCAGUGGACUGGGCAGGAGCUGACGCUGAGGCGCGAAAGCGUGGGGAGCAAACAGG
rnacentral:rRNA from 1 species